ensembl:lncRNA
CUCUCUUUGGAGUUUCUGAUGUGUUGUGACUCAAGAGGUACAUCAAUAUCUUAACAAUAGUAGCUGGUAUAUUACUUUUGGAAUUAACUUCUGAACAGAUGAUGAGUUUGAAGACCUAAUCAAUCCCUGAGUUAUGAUUACCUCUGAAAAGUACCUUGUCAUUCUUAGCAGAUUUUCUAUUUUGAUGCUGUGGUUUAACCUGACAGGCAGCUCAGCACCAUACAACCUUGUGUUCCACUCCAAUGAAGUGGGAUGGGGAAGGGAACAGAAAAAACAAAGGAAGUGUGAGAAGUUAUGGCUACAGAUAAGAACAAUUUAAUUUGAAAGAGAAGAAAAUAAAUCUAAAAAACUCAACAACAGUAGUAAUAAAGAAAACCUGAUGCACUGUUAGCUGACCAGUGCUAGCUAGCAAUGGCAUCCCCCUGGCCAACUCCCCUUUGUUUUAUUGCCCAGCAUGACACCAUGUGAUAUGGGACAUCUCUUUGGCCAGUUGGGGUCAGCUGUACUGGUUCCCUUCCUUGUGCACCCAGAACUCCUUGCUGACAGGGCAACACUGGAGGCUGAAACAUCCGUGGCUCUGUGUAAGCACUGAGAUAUUGGUGUGUUAUCAACGUUAUUCUCAAUAACGUUUGAGAUGCCAACCAUUAUGAGAUAAAACUAACUCUUAUCCCAGCCCAAACCAGCAUGUUUGAUUCUUUCAUUUGUUGAAGGGUAGUUUUGCAUGAUCUAGAACUACUGCAAGCAGAGACAGAAAAGAACUGCUGAGGUUUCAUCCAUGUGAUCUUCUGCCACAUGAGUAAUGUGGAGAUUAAAAACCUGCAACACAACAGGGAGUUACACUAUUUAUUUUGAGUACUGGAAAACAGUGUACACACUCCUGGGAUAAGAAGGACGCUACCUACCAGUGAAGCAGUUUCAGAAGGAAGCUCGUCUCACUCAAAAUUUUUAGAGAGCCUCAGAUGGCCAUUCCUUUCUUUUUCCAUUGGGUACAGAGAGAUGCCCACUCCUAACUUUAAGCACACAUGCAUGAUUUGGGUUUCAAAAGCUAAGGCAAAUAAAUGUGGCCUACAAUUUUCCACUGCUUUCUUAAGUGGAUGAAGAAAUUUUGGACAUAAUGCCCUGCAAGGGAUUUUUUUUUUGUGUGUGAGUGUAAAAAAUGUGUAUUUUAGGUGGACCUAAAAUAACCAGAAAGUAAUAUGUAUUCGGAAAGUGGAAUCAGCAAUAAAACCUGUGCUUGUAGUAGGAGAAACUAGUAAGGAAAUAAGACCUGCAGUUCCUCAAUGGAUGUGUGGAAUGUGCUAUAGCUUAUGACAACAUAACAAGACACUCUGAGCAGUGCUCACAGGAAGAUAAAGCAAGAGUUCUGUUUUUAUCUUGAAUAUAAUGCUAAUAAGGGUAAUGCAAUCACAGUCCAAAUCACUACAGAUCUGUGGCAAUCAGGGUUGUGAUGUAGGUGGGUGGAGCUUAUAAAAGGUGAUGAAAUAUAGGAAACUGAAAUUGCACCAAAAUAGAGCUGCUGUGAUAAGCAGCACUAAUACUGGCUUUUUAGCUGGGUGACCAAGAUGGGACCUUUGGAUGAGACGAGGAAUUUUUCCGGUGAUUGCUGUAGAAAACUGACCCUGGGAGAGAGGUUGGAUCCACACUGACUCUGAUACUGAAGUCCCUGCUACUUAUAGAUAAAGACUGCCUGAACUGUAAGGGAAUGUUUGUGUCUGGAAACGAUGAAGCUGCAGUUCCUGGAACAAGCAUUUGUUUGGAUUUUUCUUCCUGAGAGCGCGUGAUGCUCGCUACUUACUUAGUCUGAAGACUGAUUUCAAUUUUCUUCCCCACUGAAAGACCAAUUCACUGUAUGUAGUUGAAGAAAGGAAUUUAAGUGAUUAACAGUUAUUAUGGAGGUAUGGUAAAUAAUCAAGAUUUUUAGACUUAAGCCUCCAUUUCUAUGAUUGUAAAACCCACUGCCAUCAUGAAAACAUUGUGCCAGUGUGGCUUAGCUGUUAGCUAUGUUAAAUAUGAGGUGUGAGAUCUAAGAAAUGCAUCCAAGAGUAUAUCUAUUCAUAUAUACAGAGAGAGGCAUACAUUCUUUUUAGGGUUUC